AUGCCGCAUCCUUCAAGGGGACUGCUGCAUGGAGGGCGGCCUGGGGCGUGCUGUAUUUGUGCUGACCCGGGCCUCCUGGCCUCGCUGCUGUCGCCGAGCUGCGUGCUGGUCUUCAACGCCCGCAACGACAAUAUGCUGCAGCUGGAGGCCGAGCUGGGCGCCGGGCGGUCUGGCUUGCGCGUGGUGCGGGUGCCCUCAGACCUGGGCGCGGAGGCUGGCUUGCAGCCCGCUGCUUGGGGCCCUGCGUCAGCUCCCCAGGACCGAGGAGCUGCAGCGACUGCUCUUCAUCAACAACGCGGGCUCUCCUGGGGAUGUGUCCAAAAGCUUCGUGGACCUGGGUGACUCCACUCAAGUGAACAAAGACUAGGCGCUGAACUUGACCUCCAUGCUCUCUCUGCCGUACUUGCAGCGUCUUGAAGGCCUUCCCAACCAGUCCCGGCCUCAACAGAGCUGUGGUUAACAUCUCAACCCUCUGUGCCCUGCAGCCCUUCAAAGGCUGAGCGCUGUACUGUGCGGGAAAGGCUGCUGGUAACAUUCUGUUCCAGGUCCUGGCGUCGGAGGAACCUAAUGUGAGGGUGCCGAACUAGGCCCCAGGUCCUCUGGACACAGACGUGUCCCAGCGGUUAGCCCGGUAGACCUCCAUGGACCCAGACAUGCGAAAAGGCUGCAGGAGCUGAAGGCAAAGGGAGAGCUAGUGGAUUGCAGGGUGUCAGCCCAGAAACGGCUGAGCUUGCUGCAAAAGGAGGUGUUCAAGUCUGGAGCCCAUGUGGACUUCGACGAUAAAUAAGCCCAUGUCUUUGGCUUCCUAAACCUUUCUGCCCCCACUUUCAGACACACCCCAGAGCCCCGUGGCUCCCCACACCCUGCCAUGGUGGCAGUCCUGCCUUACACAGAUGAACACCCAUGGUUACUCACACAUAGCCUGCUGUGAUGAGCUUCCAGGUCGCUGGCCUUACCAGUUGUCUGGAAUCUGGACUUGGCACCCUGGAUUAUGAGGAGGCUUAGGAGAGAGGUUAUGGGUGUUCAUGUCUCUAUCCCCAGGAAUAGAAUUUAAGGGAUGGGAAGAGCAGGAAAAGAAGCUGAAAAACACAAGAGAGGAGGUUGUGUCUCCUGCUCAUAGCUAGUCCAUGGGGAGAGGGAAGAGUGACCUGAGUCAAAUAGGAGGAUGCAUGCAGAUUCGCAGAUGGCCUGGUGGGGAGGAAGAGCAGAGGGCACAAGUCCCUGUUCACACAGAUGCCCCCUGCUGAGGGGAGCAGCACCUUCUGUUGAACUUCGUGUCCUCGCUCUGAUGUCUCCUUCCUCCAGAAUCCACCACCCCUCCCCCAGGCUGGGAGAAGGGGCCCUUGGGUGUCUACGUACAUGGCCAAGGCAGAUACAAAUAAAAUUAAAAAAAAA